rnacentral:lncRNA from 1 species
CUCAGAAUGAAUGAACAGGGGCUAGUGAAUAGUGAACGUAUCCUAAGUGCUGUUAUUUGGGAGAACUGGUGCAAGAAAGCAUGUCGCUAUCCACAUCAGAGUACCUCAGGUGUACUCACAAAUCUCAGCGAUGUGUAGAUAGAAUAAUACAUGCCUAUAUUCAGACAUGAGAGUGAGGACUGGAAGCAAAUAAUCCAUCGAAAAGCUCAGGCUUCAAAUCCAUCUUUUAUAAUGCCAAAGAAAUAAGAAGUAUUCUCUAAUACUCGAUUGGAAAGUUAGGCAGGCAGAAAAACAUUCCCUCGGAUGUUUCACUCAAAAGAGGAGAGUUUUGCUCUACACAUACAAUAG